AGGCGGGGGCGUGGCGGUGGUAUGAGGAGGGUGAGUGAGAUGCUGAAGCGGCUCAGUUAGACUAUAAUCUGCGCUGGAGGAGCAGCAGCGGCUCUUUCUCUCUCAGAUAAACAGUUACUCUCAUUACCUCCUGGAUCAGACUAAUCCCGCUGUGUUUCUGUACGGGUUUAGUUAAACUAGGCAGUCAUGGCUAUAGACGCGCCUGUAGUUCUGUCCGCGCUCUUCUUCACCAUCAUCGCAAUCAUCGUGGCUUCUGCGCUUUUAGCCAAGAAAUCUGGACCGAAGAAGCAGAAGCCGGAGAAACAGGCGAGAGCGGAGCCGGAGCGGGGGGAGCAGCCGGUCCCGGCCCGGGCUUCUGUAGUGGAGGACAUCGGAGCGGCGGAGGAGCCUCCGGUUCAUGAAGUCUUCUCAGCACAGCGAGCACUGAUCCAGACUGCUCCAGUGCCUGAGACUGAACCCUUACCUGUGGUCAUCACAGCUCCAGCCCCUUCGGAGGAGUCCCCAUCUCAGCAUGAGCUUGAGAGCCAAGAAGCACCUAAACCAGUUCCAGUGGCAGAACCAAUCUCAGAGCCGUCACUUCCUGUUUCAGAACCUGCCAUAGAGCUUUUCCCAGAAUCUGCCUCUCAGCAAGUUUCUGAAGCUGUCCUUCACCUAGACGCUGCCCCUGAACUAGUCUCAGAAGCUGCCCCAGAGCCCGUCUCAGAGCCCACACCUGCACCAGUGCCGGACCGGUCCCGGGAGCCAGCACCAGAACCAAUUUCUGCACCUGCUGCCAAUCCAGUUUCAGAACCUGCAUCAGAUCAUGUUUUGGAACCCAAACCUGAGUCAACUCCAGAAGCCGUACCAGAAGUUGUAGAGCAAAAUGGUAUAGUUGACAUUCCAUUUCUAUCACUUUCUUUAUUCAGUGAAUAUUACACAUCUUUUACAGUAAUUCUAUAAAUGUCUUGUUUGCGUCAUAUGAGUAAACAUAUUCGUAAUGCAUGAAUGAAGACACUGCUUGUAAAGUGUUAGAUUUAAUUCAUUUUUAAAGUCCAAAACAGUCAAGCUUUAGGGUAAGUCUCAAGUCAGGUCCCAAUGUAUCGAUAUAGACAAGUCUCCUGAGCCUGUUUCAGAAUCUCUCCCUGAAUCCGUUUUACACACCACUCCUACACCUUCUGAACCUGUUUCAUAAGACUCAAAAGUCCCAAUGGAUCAAUAUAGACAAGUAUCAAGUCGAAACAAUUUGGUACAAGCAAGUUUCAAGUAGAAUUCCAGUUUGAUACAGACAGGUCUUAAAAGGAAUCAAAAUUCCAAACAGACAGGUCGCUACAGGCAAGUCUGAUGUCAGGUCACUAUUUAAUACAGGCAAGUCUCAAGUGGUGUCUUAAUUAAGUUUACACAAGUAUUAAGUGGAAUUCUAAUUUGGUACAGUGAAGUCUCAAGUUGAAUCCAAAUUUAGUACAGGCAGGUCUAAAGUUAAAUACCAGUUUGGUAAAGGCAGGUCUCAAGUCGGGUCUCAGUAAAAGCAAGUCUCAAAUCAGUCUCAUUUAGUACAGACAAGUCUCAAAUCGAGUCUUGAUCUUAAUUAGUACAGGGAGGUCUCAAAUCGAGUCUCAGUACAGGCAAUGUGUCAGUUAGUACAGACAAGUUUCAAAUUGAGUCUUAAAUAGUAUAAUAGUACAGGUCUCAAGUCAUGUCUCAAUUCAGUCCUAAGGCAGUGCUUCCACAAACAUUCCUCGUGGAAACCUUAACUGUGACCUUGCCACAAGACUCAGCAUUUGAAAUAUGCAGAACAGUUAGAAAAGCCAGAUGGGUUUUGGAAAGAAAUGCUGUGGGAAGAAGUGCUGUGGAGAGAUGAAGCUAAAAUAGAGUCUUUGGCCACAGCAGUGGAACUGGCAAAAAAGAGGAAGUCUGUGACAGAACUGGGUCCUUACUUCCUUUUUCAUCCUAUAAAAGGAGA
ensembl:lncRNA